UACGUAGGGGGCAAGCGUUGUCCGGAAUUAUUGGGCGUAAAGAGCGUGUAGGCGGUUCGAUAAGUCUGCUGUAAAAGUCGGGGGCUCAACCCCCGAAAGCCGGUGGAUACUGUCGAACUAGAGCACGGAAGAGGCGAGUGGAAUUCCUGGUGUAGCGGUGAAAUGCUCAGAUAUCAGGAGGAACACCAAUUGCGAAGGCAGCUCGCUGGGACGUUACUGACGCUGAGACGCGAAAGCGUGGGGAGCGAACAGG
rnacentral:rRNA from 1 species